GCCCGAAUAGCUCAGUUGGUAGAGCAACGGAUUGAAAAUCCGUGUGUCCCUGGUUCAAAUCCAGGCUCGGGCACCA
rnacentral:tRNA from 1 species